rnacentral:rRNA from 1 species
UGGUGGAGUGAUUUGUCUGGUUAAUUCCGUUAACGAACGAGACCUCAGCCUGCUAAAUAGCCACGCGAACAUUCGUGUUUGCGGCCGGCUUCUUAGAGGGACUAUUGGCGCUUAGCCGACUGGAAGUUUGAGGCAAUAACA